rnacentral:lncRNA from 1 species
UGCCAAUUGGUUGUAACAGCUCCAUUGUACUAUUUUUCAUGUAUUACCCUUUUGAGGUCUAGCUCCCUGAUCCACCCCCGGGUUUUUUUUUUUUUUUUUUUCUCUCUCUUUGCCUACUACUGUAGUAUACAUAGUAGGGCCAUCUGCGCUUGGCUGCUCAACCAGCAUCAUACAUCCAAGCAAAUCAAAUACCUUAAAAGAAUAGCAGGAACAUCCAUCCCCCCUCGAAGCAACUGGAUCAAAUUGACUCAACGAAAAUCCAUUCGUCGAAAACAGGCAUAAAUUUUAAAGCUCCUGCGCAAUCUCGGUGAUACGGAUGGGUCUGUCUUCUGAGUGGUCCAAGAUUGCGGAGUUCAGGAUAUCAGGGCGAGUACUCCGAAUCCAUGGAUUUGAUAUCGGUACAUUUGAAGUCUAUCGAUGUAUGAAUAGAUUGAACGUUUUUUCUGUGGACCUUCGAGGCUUCGACUAGCCAUGCACGAUGUAUGUACUACUACAUGACUAUGUAGAACGAUAUCCAGCCCAUAUACAUCGGGGUACUCCGUUCGUUGAUCACAACCUCUGUCGAACAUUGCUGGAAGAUAGAAGGCAUGUCCCAAGUACAGAGCACAAUAGGAAUGUCGAAGAGGACCAUCUAAAACGGGUGUGAAGCUGUCAAAAGGCUAGGCCAAUGUUUCCAUACACCGCCUGCACAGUUAUUGCAUGCAUAAUCGACGCGAUGGUCAUGAAUUGAGGCUUUUCUUCCCCUUAUCUCUUGAAGAUCAUAUUAUGAACAGCUGCCCUAUAACUGACCUCACAGUUUUUUUUUUUUUUUUAUAUUGAGCUGCAUAUUGCUCCAUUGAUAAGUGAUAAGAAGCUGAAUCUAUUUACGUAGCAGCAACCUAUACCGCUCAUCUAUCUCGUCUCUUGAGUGAUAAGAGAUGGGACUCAACGCUUGUUUACGGAUAAUUUUUGUAUCCGUAUCUGCCAUUAGAUUAGUUUAGACUUAACAAGGAAGGACGAUUGCGGCAGACGGCUAGGUGCGGGGCUGGUGGCUGGCCAAUCAGCGUUGCGUGGCCUGAUCCGUUUUGUUCGAGAAUACGUUACGAAGGUUUCUGUAUGCGGGAUUACAUGCAGGUGGUAUGUAUACGGUAUGAAUACUGUAUCAGCUGAUACCGGGAACUCUGCAUACGGGUACGGGUUUUGCGAUCAGGAAGGGAGUGAGUAGUACUCCCAUGAGGUUCAUACCGAAGUAUAUUAUUAUAUUAUAGAGUAUACAUCGCAGUUUUAACAAAUAGCUUAAGUUAAGUUAACUAGUUGAGGGAUUGAUGACAACCAACAAGACUAACAACCUACCCAACUAACUAUCCAAAAGAGGACAUUUCCACCGUGCAAAUAAACAAUCAACCAAACAUCUCACAGACUCUAAAGACACUUCAACGGGCCAGUCAGUACCUAAGCUUAGGUACGUACAGAUCAAAUCUCUAUUCAUGCUAGUAGAGAGCACAAUCAUCAGCGAAUCGAUUCUCUGCGUGGCGUGAGUGUUCCUCGUUCUAAUUGCAGAUCAUUACCCGGCCAAGCUCUCCUGUAUGUCAUCUCCUCUGUUCCUGUUUGGGGUUAGGCGUGCGUGUGUGCAUCGAUUUGAGCGAGUCGGGCAGCUCCGAUUGUAGUCUGUACGGUAUGUUACAAUAUUUGUGGGGGGGAACGUGCUUGGGGUUUGCACGCAUGAAUAUGAAUAUUCCUCGAGAAUAGCAACAAGGCUGAGGAUUCAGAUCGUCCUCGUAUACUUAAAGUAUAUGCAUACCUAGCCGUCUCAAUGCUCAAGAUCGCAUACAAAUAACAAAUACUCAGCAUGUUGUUCUCAGAUGCACUCCCAAAGAGGAUAUAACUGACCCUCCGACUCCUAGAACCAAAACAGCCAUGAAUCUGACACCACCUCCGAAUCUUUGAGCUUCAUCGCGCGGAUACGUCAAUCUACGUAGCAUACGGUAGGUAUGUGGAUCAAAAAGCCCCGGCCAUGUCAGCGAACCCUCGGGCUAGAGAUAGGACCCUAGCACAUAACCACUAGAUAUCGCUCGGUUUUAUCUUCGAUGCGAGCUAGGUGCUAGUAUCGACUCGACAAAUAUAGAAUGUUUGGUGUGCCGCAUGCAGACAUCCCUAAUUUCAAUCAAUUGUACUAGGUACUGUGGGCAGAUCGAACUGUUGUUUGACGUUUGACCACGGUUGUUGAUCGUUCAUAUCAGUUUAAUAUAUAUCAUGUAGUUUAUAGUUAUAUUAAAGGGUCUUAUACCCAGGGAAAGAUGUUUAUUUAUAGAAUGGACAUAUCAAAUUGCUUUGAAUUCAGAAUUCUGGUUGGCUUUACUUAUGUACAAGGGUCCCAUAAGAGGAUUCUCUAACGUUGGCCCCCUCCAUGAUUGAACUUACUACGUAGUCAAUCUUUGUAUCAACUUAAAAAGCUAUGCCGACCACAUCGAAGGAUGGCACUAAUUCAGUAAGGACGGUUCGCAGGGUUAGAUGCUGAUGACCUCUGCGACCCUAGCCCCAAAUCAACCCAUGACUUGACACUGAACUUUGUGAGGGGUUUCGGUCGUUGGUUGGCUGGUUAGUUUGUCGGUUUGUUGGUGGACGUGAACAUGUGCCUGAUCUAUGGAAUCGAAUUCAUCCUCGGUAAUGUGUAGGGUUCUCGGCCUUUCAAUGUUUGCAUUUUUCACAUCCGAGGUUUCGAGCAAUGCAUACUACAGAGUAGUAGUUAUAUUUUGACUUUUGCGUAUCAAGCUUCUCAAUUCGGAUUCCCCGUUCGGCUGACGAGGCUAGAUGACCUUUCUUCAAGACUUCUUUGGAUUUCGAUUCCCGUAUAGCAUGCUAGAUGAUGCCCACUUGACCAAAAACGUAUUAACAAUUUGACAUAUCAAUAAUCACUCAUCUAAUUCUCUUUUUUCCUCUUGUGUAA